UACGAGGGGGCUAGCGUUGUUCGGAAUUACUGGGCGUAAAGGGUGCGUAGGUGGCCCUGCAAGUCAGAAGUGAAAGCCCAAGGCUCAACCUUGGAAUUGCUUUUGAAACUGCAGGGCUUGAGGGCAGGAGAGGUGAGUGGAAUUCCCAGUGUAGAGGUAAAAUUCGUAGAUAUUGGGAGGAACACCAGUGGCGAAGGCGGCUCACUGGCCUGCAUCUGACACUGAGGCACGAAAGCGUGGGGAGCAAACAGG
rnacentral:rRNA from 1 species